UACGUAGGGUGCAAGCGUUGUCCGGAAUUAUUGGGCGUAAAGAGCUCGUAGGCGGUUCGUCGCGUCGGCUGUGAAAACCCGGAGCUCAACUCCGGGCCUGCAGUCGAUACGGGCGGACUCGAGUUCGGCAGGGGAGACUGGAAUUCCUGGUGUAGCGGUGAAAUGCGCAGAUAUCAGGAGGAACACCGGUGGCGAAGGCGGCUCUG
rnacentral:rRNA from 1 species